UGAGCAAUCUGCCCUUCUCUUCGGAAUAAGCGUGGGAAACCGCGUCUAAUGCCGAAUACGACCUCCUUUCGCAUGAUCGGAGGUGGAAAGCUCCGGCGGAGAAGGAUGAGCUCGCGGCCUAUCAGCUAGUUGGUGUGGGUAAUGGCCCACCAAGGCGACGACGGGUAGCCGGCCUGAGAGGGUGACCGGCCACACUGGGACUGAGACACGGCCCAGACUCCUACGGGAGGNAGCG
rnacentral:rRNA from 1 species